CCAUACUAAAAAAGAGGAUUCGAGCAGUCGGAAAACUGGCAUCGGUAUCCUGACACCCGUCAGACUGUCGAUACCGGAAUCCCGGCAGUGUCAGGAGGCCGAGACCGGAAUCCCAACAGCAGACCUCCCGACCAUAAGUCCACAGCCCAUGCAUAUCUGGGAUCUGGUCGGUAUCCCGGCGGUAAUCCCAGUGUCGGAACACUGAGCGCCGACAUCCCAAAGAUGCACAGCGCCUGCUUCUCUUCAUGGCUCCUCUUCACUUCAGCAGCGGUGACAGCAUGACCUCACAUUUGCCGUGCCGAAAAAGGAAGCCACUGGGACCUGAGGAGGGGAUGAAUGCUGUCCAACAGACUCAGCAUGUGUCUAGACCAGGUGAUCCUCAAAUGAUCCUGAAGAAGCCUUAUGGUGAAACGUUGGUGAAAGGAGCUUGGAAGUUCCAGGACUAUGGACAACCAGUUUUGCCGGCAAAACAGCCCUCCGUCGACUGAGACAAGGUACAAAAUGCAAUAUUGAUUGCUAACCAAAUUUGAAGAAGUGACUCAAUUCUAGAAAUUCUCUAUAUGAAAAAAUGUCACUAUUAAGAUACUAUCAAUUGGGAUUGCGACUCACAUCUAGGAAUUUCAUACAUAUGUUUUCACUAACAUUUUUUUG